UACGAAGGGGGCAAGCAUUGUUCGGAAUUACUGGGCGUAAAGGGUGCGUAGGCGGAUUAGACAGUCAGGUGUGAAAGCCCGGGGCUCAACCUCGGAAUUGCAUUUGAUACUACUAGUCUAGAGUAUUGGAGAGGAGCGUGGAAUUCCCAGUGUAGAGGUGAAAUUCGUAGAUAUUGGGAGGAACACCAGUGGCGUAGGCGACGCUCUGGCCAAAUACUGACGCUGAGGCACGAAAGUGUGGGGAGCAAACAGG
rnacentral:rRNA from 1 species